CUGGGACACCAGAUUGCUGGUUGGAAGCUCACAGCUCCUGGGACCCUCAGAACGUCUGGGGAUGAGAGGCAGGGGGAGGCGAGGUCACAGGAGACCCCUGAAAUAUCCCAAUAGGUCCUCAACGCUCAGGCACCUGUGUGCUGGAUCCUGCACAGAGAAACGCGCCACAUGGCCAAAAUGUUGAAGCUCCGACAAAGUGAACAUUUGAUGUGCAGGCAACCUAAAUUCAGACGCACUUCAAAACUUCCAGUGAUGAGCUGAACAAUAUGAAGUCCAGUCAGAAGAUAACAUCUCUGCUCUUCAAAAUGGGAUAAAAGUGUCUUCAAAUACUCCACCAGAGGUCAAAGCUGCAGAAGGGACCUUCAUCUGGUUAAAUCCCAAGAGUCCCAAGAGUCCAGCAAACCAACACCUGCUUCUAUGGUUCUAAAUAAAACAAAGGUCCUUUAAACAGCAACUAUUUUAUUAUUUUUUAAAAAGCUGUUUCAUUUUCUAUUUUCACAUUAAAUGAAUGGAUCAAAAAUGCCCAUGAAGUCAAAGUUCAGUCAAAAGAUAUUUGCGCAAGUAGAAGCCCUGUCCCUAUUGUACACAAUUUUAAAACAUUCACAAUCACUAGUGAAAUUCAUAUUUUAGAAAUUAUUCUGUCGUGAUCACAACAUUAAAGGCAGACACAUAUUCUGACAUAAUUACAAGUUGAAAUG